rnacentral:misc_RNA from 1 species
UCCACUUUAGGUGCGGGAGGUAGUGAGUUCGAUCCCCGCCCGCGUCAUACUAGAGACGUGAAAAAUGGUACCAGUACUUCCAAGGCUGAGCGCUCAGGAUUUAAAUGGAAACUUGCUUCUUUUCUCUCAUACCUUUGAGUCAGGAAUGAGGUGUACAGAGUGAUAAUAUAGAACUAUGAACGUAAUGGCACAUCAGCGUCAUUUAGAGAAGACAAAAUACAAUGGGUGAAGGCCGGGCUUGGAUUGACAUAUCUAAGAGAAGGAAUAGCACCUUUUUGUGAUGACAUUGCAAAACUCCAACAUAAAGACAUCUUAGAUAACAUUAAACAAACAAAGAGUCUAUCAGCAGUAGCAUGUGGUCAAUGCAGUUGGGCGACACUUAGACCUGACCAUGCAAAAGGAGGAAACAGAUCAUGUAUGUUAGGUCAAAAAAAUUGCAACUGCUGCAAUCCUGCUGGUAAAAUUACUUGCCCAAACAAAGUAUGUGGUGCCAUCAACAAGCCAUGGAUUAACACCGCCAGCGCCUUAUUGGAAAAACACUGAGACAAAGCAUUGGUGCACAGACCCAUGGUCUAUCGCUAUGUGUUUUAUCAACGCCCCCGGAUACGACAAGAAAGUAUCAGCAGCCGAUAUUGACUGCAUCGGGUUACUACACCUGAUUCGAAACAACCAGUAUUUUCACAAUCAUGUGCAAUGCGCAAUUACUCAAACCGAUGUCUUCUCAAAGGUAAUAGCGGACAGAAACGAGAUAUUUCACCCAAGUGCAAUGGAACUAGAAGAAACAAAAGCAAAUAGUUACAUAGAUGAUAUGAUAGCUGUUCUUCAAGACGGUAAGGAACUGAACAACCGACAGGACGCUAAAGACUCUGUGGAGAAACUUGAAGAGAGUUGUCGCUGAAGAAAUUAGAGAUAUGUUAGAGAGGUUUGAAAAUGAAAAUUGUCUAGCAACAAAACAAUAGUGUGGUAGACUUAAGAAACAACUGUCAGAACUAGAGUCGGCCAUUUCGGAACUAAAAGAGGAGAUGAACAGACUCAAGACAGUUGUUUCGUCUCAACAAGAAUCUAUUGAUUAUGAGCAAUCGAAACUAGAGUUACAGACAAGGUUGAUAGAGUUUUACAGAGAAGAUAUACUACGCAUGUCUGCACUUCUACAACAACAAGAGAGUAAUCUUUGUGACAUUAAACAUGUAUACGUUAGAACACGAAUGGUGAUUGAAUCAAAAGAUGACUAAAAUAAUGAACCAAAGCUUGAAGAUGUUCGAUCAAUGUCUGAUAUUUUUGCAAAAGACGGUAAACCUAUGAAAUCCAUCUACGUUUUCGGAGAAGCAGGAUCCGGUAAAAGUUGCUUCUGUAAAAGUUUAGUAUAUUAUUGGUGUUUGGCACAUUCCGACGGACAAAAUUUGGAAGAUGAGUUCAAUGGGGUCAAGGAAAUGAAGAAAUUUAAUUUUGUGUUUCUUCUUCCUCUCCGUCAUUAUACAGAUAAGAUGAAAAUCAAAGAAAUGCUAGAGGAAAAGUACGAGCAUCCUGCUCUUAAGAAGCUUCUUCAAUGUGAGUCUCGAACUUGUCUCGUUGUUCUUGAUGGUCUUGACGAAUGGGCUCCCCCAGGGUCAAAAUGUCCUCCUGAACGCGGCGCAUUGAAAGAAUAUACCGUGCUAACUACAUCACGACCAUGGAAAAUUGCAACGUUAGGAAUAAGUGAUAAUGAGAUACGGCAAAGGAUUAGCCUUAAAGGGUUUGAUGAUGAAACAACUGUAAAGAACAUGAUUGAAAAGACGGUCCCAAUAUUAAACAAAAUAUUUAAGAAAAAUAAAGUUUCAAGUGACUGUGAAAUAGCGCUUGAAAAUGAAUCAAUGGCAAGUUUAAACCAUAC